rnacentral:rRNA from 1 species
UACGAAGGGGGCUAGCGUUGCUCGGAAUCACUGGGCGUAAAGCGCACGUAGGCGGCUUCUUAAGUCAGGGGUGAAAUCCUGGAGCUCAACUCCAGAACUGCCUUCGAUACUGGAGAGCUCGAGUCCGGGAGAGGUGAGUGGAACUGCGAGUGUAGAGGUGAAAUUCGUAGAUAUUCGGCAAGAACACCAGUGGCGAAGGCGGGUCUCUGGGCCGAUACUGACGCUGAGGAGCGAAAGCGUGGGGAGCGAACAGG